rnacentral:rRNA from 1 species
CAGCUAGUUGGUGGGGUAAUGGCUCACCAAGGCAACGAUCAGUAUCCGGCCUGAGAGGGCGGACGGACACACUGGGACUGAGACACGGCCCAGACUCCUACGGGAGGCAGCAGUGGGGAAUUGUUCGCAAUGGGCGCAAGCCUGACGACGCAACGCCGCGUGGAGGAUGAAGACCUUCGGGUCGUAAACUCCUUUCGAUCGAGACGAAUGGUUUCCGGGUGAACAAUCCGGGAAAAUGACGGUACCGAGAGAAGAAGCCCCGGCUAACUCCGUGCCAGCAGCCGCGGUAAUACGGGGGGGGCAAGCGUUGUUCGGAAUUACUGGGCGUAAAGGGCCUGUAGGUGGCCAACUAAGUCAGACGUGAAAUCCCUCAGCUUAACUGGGGAACUGCGUCUGAUACUGGAUGGCUUGAGUUUGGGAGAGGGAUGCGGAAUUCCAGGUGUAGCGGUG